UCAGUACCAGUUUCGUUCAAAUAAUGGUGGGGAAGAUUCGACAACUGCAACAAAAAGUUACCAGUUUCGUUCAAAUAAUGGUGGGGAAGAUUCGACAACUGCAACAAAAAGUUACCAGUUUCGUUCAAAUAAUGGUGGGGAAGAUUCGACAACUGCAACAAAAAGU